rnacentral:tRNA from 1 species
GGACAAUUAGCUCAGUUGGCAGAGCGGCGGACUCAUAAGCCGCAGGUCGCCGGUUCGACCCCGGCAUUGUCCACCA